CUACAUAUAACAUACAGUGAAAGAUUUAAAGAAAAAAAAUCUAUGCCUCUAUGAAUUCAAAGGGUUUAAAAAUUAUCUAACAAAGUACAUGAUAGUGUGACUAUAGUUCUGUGCAAAUAAUAUGAACCCAAUGUGAAGGUCACAGGUUUUGUGGAGGGAGAUCUAUCAAAACCAUAAAGUAUCAUGAGCCUGAGACUCACACUAUUUGCAGAGGACUAAAAAACUUCUAAUUAUUAUGUUUUUAUUUAUCAUUUUAUGGUCAUUAAUAGUCUUUAUAUUUUCAAUUUUGUUAUUAAAUAAUUUGGUUUGAGGACAGUAGUCAGAGAUGUGGUAUGGGCAGUGAUGCUAAUCUUAAUUCUCAUCCAUCUGGAUGUGAGCAGUUUUAUGUCCACAAGGUUUUCAUCAUGUGUACAGGAGCUAGAUAGCGAUGGAGGCCUCUCCUCCACUAUAUGUCACCUGGUAUGAACUAUUCAGUUGAGGAUACUUUGGCAAGGCUAUGAGAAACCUGUGAGAAAUGUGUUUAGUGCCUAUAAAUGAUCUUCCAGAAAAGGCAGAGUGAAUUUAUAUGUUGAAUGUUAAUUUACUAAUUCCAGGUCUCUGCUGAAAGCAAAACGCCCAAAACUCAAACCCACAGCAGCUUCCAAUCUAAGGGGUAAAAACAUUUUUACUUAUUUUGGACAAGAUCUAAACAGGUGAAGGAAUCUCCUCAGGUAUCUGAAUCUCCAGGUGUCUGUGGUCACAUAUCCUACACACAAUUUCCUUGUCACUGGGUAUCUAGACAGGUGUAGUGCUACUCCCUACCCCUACCUCCUGGGAUCUUUGAUUUCUUAGUCCCAUUCCCUUCUUCAUUGGUUAGUUGGGUCAGUGAGCAGCAAGUCCCAAAGAAUGACACAUUAGUAGGAGAGUUAAAUUAUCAAUUAUUUCUAGAAUAAAGGACAAUCUAGAUUCAAGUCUAGGUUCGACCUUUUAAAAAAGCUUCUAAAAAUAGGUCUGGAAAGGUUCUAUUGUUUCUCCUGUAACUUAGUUGGAUUCACAACAUGGGGUUGAAUCCUCUCACAUUUACCACACUGCAGCCUGGAUGACUGCAGACAAUUACUUAAUCUUUCUGAUGCUCAAUUUGCUUAUCAAUAAGAUGGGAAUGAUAAUACUGUGACUGAUGUGAAAUUUAUAGAAUUAAUGCAUGUUAAACUUAGACCUGUGUCUGGUAUAGUAAGCACUCAAUAAGUGCUGGUUGUACUCGGUGUUACCAUUAUCUCAUUGAGUGUCCCUCCUCUCAACCUGAGCCUAUUUUAAGAUAAAGUGAGAAGGAUUUACUUCAGUCAUAGGAUAAGAGGCAGCUUGCCAGUAGGAAGUUGACUGAUCAUAGAUCUUAUCCUGAGAGUGGAAGGAAGAAGAAGAGCUACUACAUUGUUUUGGGUAACAGGACUUGCCAUCUGUGUCUGAGAACCAAGCUCCUUGUCUUUAGAUAUGUAAUCAGGAGUUGCAAAACAGUAAUUAAAAAUAGAAUUUUAUAGAUACAAUAUAUUUUAAAUAGCUUAUUCUUAUAACACCCUACUUUUAUUUCUAUUUUUUACUAUUUUGUUCUUCCUGCAUUUGACUGAUCAAUGAACAAAAAUAACAAAAUGAAUAUAUAAUUCUAUCUAAUUAAUAUGUGUUUAUUAUUUAAAACAUUGAAACAAAUAGUUUAUCCAGGCUGUUUAUUAUGUUUUCCUGUGUCUGGCUUAUAAGUAUUGUAU
rnacentral:lncRNA from 1 species